UCUAAUACUCAAAUAUCUAUAUCUCUUGAUCUCUCCCAAAACAAAAUAGUUGAAGUCACACCAAUUCUUUUUUAGAAUUUCACUGUUCAAAGGAAAAUAAUCCAGUAUAUUAAAACAAUUCCAUUUGUCAAGUUCAUUAAUAUUUCCAGCUUUAACUUAGUAUGAGAGGAGAUUCCACAUAUCUUAUUUAACAACUUUAAAUGGUUUAUUCACUGUUCAUUUUCAAUUGAUAACCAUUCAUGCUAUUUGGUUUAUUGUUGAUUUACUUUUAUCGUAUAGGAUAUCUAUGGAUAAUGGUGAUAAAAGUUGGAUGAAUCUUCUGAGAUAGACGGAUGUGUAUAUCCGUGGAGUGAAUGAUUUUCUUGAUAAGGCAUUUGAACGAGCCGCCCAAGGAAAUGAAAUAUUAUGCCCUUGCAAAAAGUGCAUGAAUCACUAUUGGAUUUGAGAGAGAUUUCGGAUACUUUUGUUCGGUUGUUGAGGCCCGUCCCUUCUCCCACGUCCUCUUUGGUUUAGUUGGUAAUUUCUAUCCUCCAUGAAAUUAUAGCAAUAUUAUAGCCUAAUAUGAUAUUUGGUCGUCACUCUCACGCGGAAUGGCUUAGUUCAUUCACAUUAUUCAUUCAACUGGCAUCCAUUUAUCUGCUCCCUAUCAUUUAGAUUUCAAUCUGUAGUAAGUCACUGAUUUGGUGAGAAGUUGGAAUUCUCCAGAUCUUCAGAAGUUGUAUGUCUUCUUAGAGCUUACAUCCUCUGGCCACAAGGUUUGUUUUAAUCUUCAUACUUAGAUAUUCCAUUUUAUGAUCCAUUUGGGGGUUAUUGCUCUCUUGGUUUACUGCAGUCUUUCCUUGAUUUGGUGCUUCAAAUUCUUUUCAAAUAGAAAUUGGAGACCCUGCAUAUACUGAAAUAGCUGUUUUAUUCUGGCAUAGUGAACUUGGAGCUGGACUUUUCGUCUAUAGUAGUUGAUGUCAUUGGAACCCUAACUACUUAAUGGAUUAUGUUCCAGUACUACUGGAAUAGGGUCAUUAUUCUUCUGAAGUGUCAACUCAUCUCUGAUUGAUUGUCUUUGUAUUUCAGGUUGAAGCUGAAGAACAGCCCGAGAUAUCUGAGUUGUACUCUGUUUCUGUUGUUCCUUACUUUGUCUUCUUCAACGUAACUCACAUGGGAAUUUGCUUUCCUUGUCCAUGUACUGUUUGUAUAUCUGCUUGUGUUUGUAAACCUGAGAGAAGGAGUUAACAUGCAUAGACAAAGAAAACCUUAUAUGUAAUACUAUUGACAACCUUAUAGUGCUCCAACUUAUAUAAUGCAGUCCGGAAUACUAAAUGGUUAGAAUUAGGAUUAUUGAUGCCUUCCUUUUGUUUAUCCUUGCUACCUGCCACUUGCCACAUAUGGGUAUGCUGAUUUGAGAUCCACAGAGUUGGAUUAAAUUAGGAUUUUGUUCAAGGCAAUCUAUGUAAUUUUACCUUGUUUGGGUUGUUUGUUUACGCUCAAACUUAAUUUUUGUUGAA